rnacentral:tRNA from 1 species
GAGGGUACAGCUCAGUGGUAGAGUGCGUGCUUAGCAUGCACGAGGUUCGGGUUCAAUCUCCAAUACCUCCA